GGGGAUGUGUUGCUUUGACGUGACAUGCUCUUUAACAGUCGCAGGUCGUCUUUGGUCAAAAGACGUUAACAGGACCAAAACUAUAACUGCAGAUACAAUCGGCAGCAUGCGAACAAGGAUCACUGAAGUUGCAAACAACUUCAUGGGUUCCUUUGACGCACCAUCUUACGCUACUGUUUUAGUAGCAUAAUUUGGCAUUCACUCGCGUCAUCUCACUGAUGUGAACGAGUGGGUGACAACUCAGUCAGUGUGACAGAUUGUUUGUUUGUGCCAAACAAUCAUAAGCAAUAGCACAAAGGGAGUACUCUAGGUUUGUUUCUUUACCCGAUUACUCCUCACUCAAAGAGAAACUAAACCUGUAGAAGCUGUUGUUUAGCUGGACACGGACACGGGGUCGCGCCCCGUCAUCUCCACAA
rnacentral:tmRNA from 1 species